rnacentral:lncRNA from 1 species
UUGGAUUUUAUUAUUGUUAUUGUCUCACAGAACAAGACUAGCCAUAGGUAGGCAGUUGCAGGGUGGGGUCAGAAGCUCAUUGAUGUCAUUGAAGACACUGCUUUUCAUCUUUCUGUCCUGUCAUCUUCAAAGUGCCGCUAUAUUUCCCACCUAGGUCACAGGGUGGCUGCAGCAUAGGCAAGCUUUACAAUUGCAUGUGAAAAUACCUGGAAGAAAGAAAAAAAGAGAUAGGGAGGAAGACACCUUAUUUUCUCUCUUCAUGUAAGGGGAAAAAAUUGUUUCUCAGAAACCCCCCAGUAAACUUCCCUUUAUGUUUUAUCAGACACAACUGGAUUCAAAAGCCAUCUUGAACUGCAAGAGGGACUGGGAAAAGUGAAGCUAUCAUCUCUGUCCCUAUCUUGGAAUUGGGCACUUCCAACAGGCAAGAAGGAUGAGCAAAACACUUGUUGGGUUGGCUGUUGUAAAAAUAAGCCACUAUUUUCAUGCUUCUAAACACUUUAUGUGUAUUAGUCCACUAGAUCCUCAUAACAAACUCUUGGGGUAAGUAUGAUUCAUAAUCAUUUACAGAUAAGCAAACUGAACUGCAGAAGUGUUAACAUAGUGAGGAAGUGAAGGAGCCAAGAUUCCAACUCCACCAUCCGGCCGCAGAGGCUGCACAAGGCGCGGUUCUCAGCCAGCAGCGUCUGCCACAGCAGGCUGCCUCUAAAAUCAUAACACGUAAAAGUUCUAAGUGAUGUUUGUCUGUCUCAGAAGUGCAAAUGUGACAUUUGCCCCUGGCUGCAGUCAUGGUGUGGGUGAAAAGAGCAGAGGGGCAUCCAAGAGUGACAAGAAUUGCUUUCUGUCAUCAUCAAGGCUGCGUCAGCUCACGCUGUGGUCAGAUCCCUCUUGUACUGGUCCCAGAAGAGAAAGACUAUGACAUUAUUGCUCCUCAGGAAGAGGUGAAGCCCUCUCACCCCCAAUAUGCAUCAAUGUCAGAAUCAGGAAGCAGAUGAGAGGUACACAGCCCCCUGAGAAGCAGUGCUUGACACAGGCUACUGUAAUAGGUGUCCACCCAUCUGAAUCCUACUGCCCAGCACUCAGCUCAGAUGGAACAAGAGGCUGCCAGACGAGAGGCUGGGAGUUGCAGAAGCACCUGUUACAGCAGAAGUCAUUUGGCAAGCCAAACAAAAUGCGGAUUCAUCCAGGCCACCUGUAAAGGAAUUUAAUGCCUAACAACCUAUGCAAAGCUUCUAAUUGUCAUAAUUAAUUUGGCAUCUAUUCACUGCUGGCACCAGUUUGAUCGCUCCCAUUUCAUAGAUCUUUACAAUGUCACACUGUUGCUCCAGCUUAUUUAGAAAUCCUGGAAAGAGGGGAAGUGGAGAUUGCAGGGCAGCCUCAGCCCUCAGAAAAGUUUCUCUGCUUUCUCAUGUGUCCCAGCUGACAGGAUGCCAGGCCAGCAAGCUAAUGACCAACAGCUGAGCGCCAUGGCAAAGAACGAUAUAAAGACAAUCAUCUGGCUUCUGCUACUUUACAAACAAAAGGCAAGAGAUAGCAUACUGGAGAGAAAACAAAAUAAAAACUUUUAAUAAUGAUAGUGUCCCAUGUAUCAAUCUCCCAUUGUAUUUCCACAUUGCACAGUUAAUAUCAGAGGCCACCUCCACUGACUCAGACUUCCAUAAACAAGACACUUUGGACACAAAGGAGUUUCUCGUUCUGUUUCUGUAUCUGUCGCCUCUAAAAAAUACAGUGAUCCAAAGUUCAUCACUAAAAGAUGUGGGGAAAAAGUGGUGAUCAAAACUUUGCAAUACAAUAAUGGACCUUUUUAAAUCUAAAAAUGUGAAAAUCAAUGCAUCAAUUUUCAUACUUUCUCUUUUAAAUUUUCUUUCUUUUGAUCCCCAAUAUAUUAUCAGUAUAAUCAAAUGACAUUAGUAUUAACCAACAUCAGCAGUCUGUAUUCUGUAAGGAAUUGAGCUCAUACAAUGAAUCACCUCGAGUAUUUUUUAAACACAAAAUUACAACAAUUUAUAAAUGUUAAUCUUUAAAAUGCACUUGAGAAUGAUUGUCCCAAAGGUUAAGUGGAAGCUUUUUCAAAAAACAGAUCACAAGGAACUAUGCCAACCCUUUCCUAAAAAUUUCUAUAAAAUUCAAAGGAAGAAAUAAACAGGAAAUCUAGUUUACAAAUGAAAUUUAAUAUAGUAGUCGUAUAUUUAUAGGCCAAGAGCUCAUACGUAAAAUGUGUGAAGGAACACAAUGGUCAGAUAUUGAGAUGCUGGCAACUGCUCAUCUGCCAAUGCUGAAUUUGGUAAUUCCUCAUUUAUACAGAGGGAAAUUAAGUACCAAAGGGCUAGAAUAAUUUACUUAUUGUGGACAAAAAAGUUAAGGACAAACUAAACUUAGUCCAGAUAAUUCUCAGAUCCUCACACACAUAAAACAACUUGCAUUUAUUUUAUUUUUAUUAUUUAUUUAUUUUUUCGAGGCCAAGUCCCCCUCUGUCACCCAGGCUGGAGUGCA